AUUGAACGCUGGCGGCAGGCCUAACACAUGCAAGUCGAACGGUAACAGGAAGAAGCUUGCUUCUUUGCUGACGAGUGGCGGACGGGUGAGUAAUGUCUGGGAAACUGCCUGAUGGAGGGGGAUAACUACUGGAAACGGUAGCUAAUACCGCAUAACGUCGCAAGACCAAAGAGGGGGACCUUCGGGCCUCUUGCCAUCGGAUGUGCCCAGAUGGGAUUAGCUAGUAGGUGGGGUAACGGCUCACCUAGGCGACGAUCCCUAGCUGGUCUGAGAGGAUGACCAGCCACACUGGAACUGAGACACGGUCCAGACUCCUACGGGAGGCAGCAGUGGGGAAUAUUGCACAAUUGGCGCAAGCCUGAUGCAGCCAUGCCGCGUGUAUGAAGAAGGCCUUCGGGUUGUAAAGUACUUUCAGCGGGGAGGAAGGGAGUAAAGUUAAUACCUUUACUCAUUGACGUUACCCGCAGAAGAAGCACCGGCUAACUCCGUG
rnacentral:rRNA from 1 species